UUUGUCUAUUGUUUUGGAAAGUGUUCCACGUUACAGAUGUGACAUUUCACCUUUCGGUAUUAUAGUGUGCAUCUUCAAAGAAACAAUUUCCCUACAUAAUCACAUUGAUAGAAGGGAAAGAAACUCCUGACCUGCUAGAUGUCUGGAGUCAGCGGCUUUGUCCUGAGGGUAGGGUCCGCUGCGGCCUUUCACCUUCGCUUUGGGACCCCUCUGGACCUCGCCCGCCCGCGCGGCCAGGCCGCGGCCCAGGCCGGACUCUCCGACCCCGCUGGCCCCGGC
rnacentral:lncRNA from 1 species